GCAUUAAUGGGGUAGUGGUAACCUGGGUCGUUGCCAUUGUCGGUUCUCAUCAGAAAAUCGACCCGCCGGGGGUUCGAUUCCCUCUUAAUGCA
rnacentral:tRNA from 1 species